UACGGGGGGAGCAAGCGUUGUUCGGAUUUACUGGGCGUAAAGGGCGCGUAGGCGGCGCAACAAGUCACUUGUGAAAUCUCCGGGCUUAACCCGGAGCGGUCAAGUGAUACUGUCGUGCUAGAGUGCGGAAGGGGCUACUGGAAUUCUCGGUGUAGCGGUGAAAUGCGUAGAUAUCGGGAGGAACACCAGUGGCGAAGGCGGCGAUCUGGGAAGAUACUGACGCUGAGGUGCGAAAGCGUGGGGAGCAAACAGG
rnacentral:rRNA from 1 species